rnacentral:rRNA from 1 species
GGGUUGUGAGGUUAAGCGACUAAGCGUACACGGUGGAUGCCCUGGCAGUCAGAGGCGAUGAAGGACGUGCUAAUCUGCGAUAAGCGUCGGUAAGGUGAUAUGAACCGUUAUAACCGGCGAUUUCCGAAUGGGGAAACCCAGUGUGAUUCGUCACACUAUCAUUAACUGAAUCCAUAGGUUAAUGAGGCGAACCGGGGGAACUGAAACAUCUAAGUACCCCGAGGAAAAGAAAUCAACCGAGAUUCCCCCAGUAGCGGCGAGCGAACGGGGAGCAGCCCAGAGCCUGAAUCAGUGUGUGUGUUAGUGGAAGCGUCUGGAAAGGCGUGCGAUACAGGGUGACAGCCCCGUACACAAAAAUGCACAUAUUGUGAGCUCGAUGAGUAGGGCGGGACACGUGGUAUCCUGUCUGAAUAUGGGGGGACCAUCCUCCAAGGCUAAAUACUCCUGACUGACCGAUAGUGAACCAGUACCGUGAGGGAAAGGCGAAAAGAACCCCGGCGAGGGGAGUGAAAAAGAACCUGAAACCGUGUACGUACAAGCAGUGGGAGCACGCUUAGGCGUGUGACUGCGUACCUUUUGUAUAAUGGGUCAGCGACUUAUAUUCUGUAGCAAGGUUAACCGAAUAGGGGAGCCGAAGGGAAACCGAGUCUUAACUGGGCGUUAAGUUGCAGGGUAUAGACCCGAAACCCGGUGAUCUAGCCAUGGGCAGGUUGAAGGUUGGGUAACACUAACUGGAGGACCGAACCGACUAAUGUUGAAAAAUUAGCGGAUGACUUGUGGCUGGGGGUGAAAGGCCAAUCAAACCGGGAGAUAGCUGGUUCUCCCCGAAAGCUAUUUAGGUAGCGCCUCGUGAAUUCAUCUCCGGGGGUAGAGCACUGUUUCGGCAAGGGGGUCAUCCCGACUUACCAACCCGAUGCAAACUGCGAAUACCGGAGAAUGUUAUCACGGGAGACACACGGCGGGUGCUAACGUCCGUCGUGAAGAGGGAAACAACCCAGACCGCCAGCUAAGGUCCCAAAGUCAUGGUUAAGUGGGAAACGAUGUGGGAAGGCCCAGACAGCCAGGAUGUUGGCUUAGAAGCAGCCAUCAUUUAAAGAAAGCGUAAUAGCUCACUGGUCGAGUCGGCCUGCGCGGAAGAUGUAACGGGGCUAAACCAUGCACCGAAGCUGCGGCAGCGACGCUUAUGCGUUGUUGGGUAGGGGAGCGUUCUGUAAGCCUGCGAAGGUGUGCUGUGAGGCAUGCUGGAGGUAUCAGAAGUGCGAAUGCUGACAUAAGUAACGAUAAAGCGGGUGAAAAGCCCGCUCGCCGGAAGACCAAGGGUUCCUGUCCAACGUUAAUCGGGGCAGGGUGAGUCGACCCCUAAGGCGAGGCCGAAAGGCGUAGUCGAUGGGAAACAGGUUAAUAUUCCUGUACUUGGUGUUACUGCGAAGGGGGGACGGAGAAGGCUAUGUUGGCCGGGCGACGGUUGUCCCGGUUUAAGCGUGUAGGCUGGUUUUCCAGGCAAAUCCGGAAAAUCAAGGCUGAGGCGUGAUGACGAGGCACUACGGUGCUGAAGCAACAAAUGCCCUGCUUCCAGGAAAAGCCUCUAAGCAUCAGGUAACAUCAAAUCGUACCCCAAACCGACACAGGUGGUCAGGUAGAGAAUACCAAGGCGCUUGAGAGAACUCGGGUGAAGGAACUAGGCAAAAUGGUGCCGUAACUUCGGGAGAAGGCACGCUGAUAUGUAGGUGAAGUCCCUCGCGGAUGGAGCUGAAAUCAGUCGAAGAUACCAGCUGGCUGCAACUGUUUAUUAAAAACACAGCACUGUGCAAACACGAAAGUGGACGUAUACGGUGUGACGCCUGCCCGGUGCCGGAAGGUUAAUUGAUGGGGUUAGCGCAAGCGAAGCUCUUGAUCGAAGCCCCGGUAAACGGCGGCCGUAACUAUAACGGUCCUAAGGUAGCGAAAUUCCUUGUCGGGUAAGUUCCGACCUGCACGAAUGGCGUAAUGAUGGCCAGGCUGUCUCCACCCGAGACUCAGUGAAAUUGAACUCGCUGUGAAGAUGCAGUGUACCCGCGGCAAGACGGAAAGACCCCGUGAACCUUUACUAUAGCUUGACACUGAACAUUGAGCCUUGAUGUGUAGGAUAGGUGGGAGGCUUUGAAGUGUGGACGCCAGUCUGCAUGGAGCCGACCUUGAAAUACCACCCUUUAAUGUUUGAUGUUCUAACGUUGACCCGUGAUCCGGGUUGCGGACAGUGUCUGGUGGGUAGUUUGACUGGGGCGGUCUCCUCCUAAAGAGUAACGGAGGAGCACGAAGGUUGGCUAAUCCUGGUCGGACAUCAGGAGGUUAGUGCAAUGGCAUAAGCCAGCUUGACUGCGAGCGUGACGGCGCGAGCAGGUGCGAAAGCAGGUCAUAGUGAUCCGGUGGUUCUGAAUGGAAGGGCCAUCGCUCAACGGAUAAAAGGUACUCCGGGGAUAACAGGCUGAUACCGCCCAAGAGUUCAUAUCGACGGCGGUGUUUGGCACCUCGAUGUCGGCUCAUCACAUCCUGGGGCUGAAGUAGGUCCCAAGGGUAUGGCUGUUCGCCAUUUAAAGUGGUACGCGAGCUGGGUUUAGAACGUCGUGAGACAGUUCGGUCCCUAUCUGCCGUGGGCGCUGGAGAACUGAGGGGGGCUGCUCCUAGUACGAGAGGACCGGAGUGGACGCAUCACUGGUGUUCGGGUUGUCAUGCCAAUGGCACUGCCCGGUAGCUAAAUGCGGAAGAGAUAAGUGCUGAAAGCAUCUAAGCACGAAACUUGCCCCGAGAUGAGUUCUCCCUGACUCCUUGAGAGUCCUGAAGGAACGUUGAAGACGACGACGUUGAUAGGCCGGGUGUGUAAGCGCAGCGAUGCGUUGAGCUAACCGGUACUAAUGAACCGUGAGGCUUAACCUUACAACGCCGAAGCUGUU